rnacentral:rRNA from 1 species
CGGGACGGGUGAGUAACGCGUGGGUAACCUGCCUUACACUGGGGGAUAACACUUAGAAAUAGGUGCUAAUACCGCAUAAGCGCACAGAGCCGCAUGGCUCAGUGUGAAAAACUCCGGUGGUGUAAGAUGGAUCCGCGUCUGAUUAGCUGGUUGGCGGGGUAGAAGCCCACCAAGGCGACGAUCAGUAGCCGGCCUGAGAGGGUGAACGGCCACAUUGGGACUGAGACACGGCCCAAACUCCUACGGAAGGCAGCAG